rnacentral:rRNA from 1 species
CCUACGGGUGGCAGCAGUAGGGAAUCUUCCACAAUGGGCGCGAGCCUGAUGGAGCAACACCGCGUGAGUGAAGAAGGGUUUAGGCUCGUAAAGCUCUGUUGUUGGAGAAGAACGUGCGUGCGAGUAACUGUUCACGCAGUGACGGUAUCAAACCAGAACGUCACGGCUAACUACGUGCCAGCAGCCGAGGUAAUACGUAGGUGGCAAGCAUUAUCCGGAUUUGUUGGGCGUAAAGCGAGCGCAGGCGGUUGCUUAGGUCUGAUGUGAAAGCUUUCGGCUUAACCGAAGAAGUGCAUCGGAAACCGGGCGACGUGAGUGCAGAAGAGGACAGCGGAACUCCAGGUGUAGCGGUGGAAUGCGUAGAUAUAUGGAAGAACACCAGUGGCGAAGGCGGCUGUCUGGUCUGCAACUGGCGCUGAGGCUCGAAAGCAUGGGUAGCGAACAGGAUUAGAUACCCGGGUAGUC